GGGGCUUCCACGGAGGUCUGGUGUAGGCCUCUGUGAAGCCUGAACUCCAGUAGGGCCCAAGCCAGCCAGGAAGGAGGAGGCAGCCAGAGUGGCCACCACUGGUCUCUGCAGCAGAAGACCCCCUGCUGCCAGCAUGUCUUAAUCAAAGACAGAAAGAGACUUCAGAUCUCCUUUGUUUACUUUUGGCUAUGGCUUUGAGACAUCUGUGGGGAGGCUGAUCGUACGGGCUGGAGUCACAGGAGAUCCCAGUACAGUGACUCAUCACAGGCCAAAGUGGGGCACCCAGCUUUGAACCAUCACAUCCUUCAUGGCCCACCAGAUGUCCCCAGGAAGCUCACAGGCAAGAGAUGAAGGCAUGCCUUCUUUCCUGCGGUUGCUCUCCUGCAACGGAUAUUCAGAGGCAUCCUGUGUUUGAGCCUGGAGGCAGUCUAGGUUUCCAGGCAUGAAAGUUGGCAGACCAAUGCACCAAGGAUGAACAGUUCACACGACCUGGGGAAAAAUAGUCUCACCCCCCACCCCACCCCUCUGCUUUAGUGGGGCAGUCCCUCUGCACAUGUGCUUUCUUUGCUUGCACAGGCAGAGCUUUAGUCAGAAUGUUGGUCAGUAUGAACAGGACUUCUUUUGUUUUUUUAUUCAUGUUGGCAUUUUUUUUGCUGCCACAUAAGAUGGACUUUGCAUUUUGGGUCCAUAUUUCAGCUGCUCUUUUGUUUUGUCGAAACAUAGUGUGAGGUUUGCUCUCUUUGGGAUGCUUCAGGAAUCCCUAGAGCAUGUACCACCUAUGCUGAGUUUCAAUAAUAAAAAUCAAUGA